rnacentral:lncRNA from 1 species
CCGAAGAGCAAGCCAUUACCGUCGCAUCAUCCCUACCAAUGUCUCGCCACCACUGUGAACCAUCCUCGGUUGUUAUUGUUGUUCCUCACCGCCGCUGGAAGACGAAAACCAGUCACCGUCGCACCCUCAUUAGCCACUAUAGUGAAUCAGACCCGCCUGGUACCCACCACGAACCGUCACUGAGAUAGGUUCUUCCGGCUGGAUCAAUUCGGCUUCCAUCUUCAACAACCUUUAGUCGCCAUGAACACUACCGAUUGGAAAGAAGGAAGAAAACGGAUUCCAUGCCAUGGCCAUCCCUGCUGCGGGAAAAGAAAGGAAUUGAGAAGAAAAGUGGGACUUUGGUUUUAGGGAUUUUUAUCCCAUUUACUUUUAGGGAUUUACCCCUUUUGCUACCCGUGAGGGAGAAGGAUAGCAUAUCUUUCUU